GAGUUAGAGGGGACCAGGGGUUUUGUCUGCCUGCCUGCAAAUGUGGGAGUCCCUGGGGGGUGAACCGCGCACCCUGCUGAGCUACAGCCCCUCACACCUCUUAAAUCUAGAACUGCCCUACCCACAUGCACGCACAAUGAUCGCCAUGGCAACACGUGUAUUAGGAACAGCAUAACAAAGGUGGAAAGCACCUCUGUGGUCCACAAACCACAUUCAUGUUCUGAACAACACCGAGGGUUCAGAAGAGCAUGCUUUGCUAUGAUCGUGGCAGCAGUCAGUAGAUGGAAGCCGGAAGAACGACCAUUCUUGGGAAAAGGAUUUUCUUGAUGUCAUUCAGCUAAAAUUCAGAGUGCCGUUCAUUCCCUGACUUUGCCAGCAAUCACCAGUUGCAUUUCUUCUCACACUAGAGCAGGCUGUUUGGCCACAGAUAUGGACGAAACAGUAGUGGUGGAGACCAUUGACACUAGAGUUCCUAACUAGCUGGAAGCUCCCUGAAGAAGAGCUCACAUCUGCUACAUGAUCUGUGUUCUCCCCGGGAUCCCCAGUGCCUGCUCCAGUGCCAGGAGAGACUGACCACAUUACAAGCAACACUGAAAGGGAGCAGCACAAUGUGCUGCCCUCCCCCUGACCUGGUGCUUUUGGCCUCUGCCCUUGACCUUCCCAGCUCCCUGGAAGGCCGCUGCAGUGGUAUCAUCCUUGGGUGUGAACGCUCUGGAAAAGAGGACCUUGCAUGGUGCUGGAGAUGAAGCAAGCACUGAAAAAACCUGUGGUUUUGACAGAGAAUGCACAUCUCUACUAAGAGGAGACUUGGAUCCCUGUUGGCUGAAGGUGGUUGGAUUCCAAGACAGUAAGCACUUUGGAAUAUUUACUAACUAAAGAUCCAUUAAGUGAUUUUCUUCUGGAAACUGUGUUGCCUGUGCCACAGCUCGGAUGCCAAGCUGAUCAAACAACACUGCCUGAACCCUCUCUACAAGAACCAACCUGCUGGGUUGUUAGUACUCUGGCUUGGCAGCCCCAACCCUGUUGCUUACAUCUGCCAUGCUGUUUGCACAGAUUAACUUCCUUAAAUAAUUUUUAAUCAUUUUAAGCAGGUACUUCACUUAACACAAUGAGGACACGUACAACUUGAUUUUGAUUCACACUCUAUUUUGUUCUGGUAGUAAUCAUGUAUAAAAUGGACUUUGAUUUUCAUGCUUAUUUAAUCCUAAUGUGAAUUACAAAUGACUCAUUGUCCUAGGCUGAACAUUUGUUUUUCUCAGAAGAUCCUUAUUUAUGUACCUACUAAGUGUCACUGCACUGUUAGUGUGUGUCCACAUUUAUUAGCGUGUGUGAACUUCGGAGAAGGGAAUUAUCAAAGAUACUAAAAAGUGGCAAAAGUCCAUCAGUUAGUUUUAUUUGGCUAGAUAAAGUCAGUGACUAAUUCAUUUCCCUCCUGAUGAUAUAUAGUUAAUCAUAUGUAGGAAACUGACUUUUCCUCUCCCCCUCUUCCUAGCCCUGCCUGGCAAGAGCCAACCCCUGGUCUGAUGUGCCAACUUCAGAAAAGAUUCUUUUGUUCCAGAUAAACUGAUUCCCAUACACUCAAACUUUUAUUUUAAACUCAGUCAUUGUUACCAAAAAUGUCCCCUCAAAGUCAUUCUGUGUUCACUUACUGACUGGUUCCAAAGAACUUUCUAGAGGAGCACAGUGCAUCAGAAACCAAACAAUCCUCUUUGUCAGCCACAUCAUAGGGACUAUGCCUACUUUUCCUUUCUAAUACUUGGAUUACUGAAUUCUCGAGAAUGGAUGAACUCUGGCACUGCCCCUCAAUCCGUUUUCCCAAAUAUUCUUCCAAAGACAUUUAUUCUAAUAUUUAGAUAUAUGUAAGUGAAAUCGACUAAAUUCCAAUUUUCUAAAGUUUAUAUACAUAUAUAGGACUAAAAUAUGGCAGUGAAGAAGAACUUGAUAAAUUGCUAGAGAGAGGACUAAUUUUGCUUCACAAUUAGUAGCUGAAGCAGGUAAGACACCAUUGCAAAUACUUACCAAAGUGUCUUAUUUGUGCCCCCCAGGGAGAUAGUCCAAGUGAGAUAUCCCUUUUUUUUCAGUAAAGGCUUUUUUUUGUUUGUUUUUUUAAGAUUUAUUUAUCCACGAGAGACAGAGAGAGAGAGAGAG